UGACUAUGUUGCACCAAAAUAGUGCUUCAAUGUGAACAUUAAGCACCACAUUGGUGCAAUAGAACGCAAGCCACCCUUUUAACGCUCCGUGAAAGCGAUCACAAAGAGACUCUGCAAUACUUGUUUGCGGAGGAUGUUUGUGAUCCUGUUUU
rnacentral:sRNA from 1 species